UACGUAGGGGGCGAGCGUUGUCCGGAUUUAUUGGGCGUAAAGCGCGUGUAGGCGGCCUGUCAAGUCAGCGGUGAAAGGCGUGGGCUCAACCCGCGGACUGCUGCUGAUACUGGCAGGCUCGAGGCCGGGAGAGGAGAGUGGAAUGCCCUGUGUAGCGGUGAAAUGCGCAGAUAUAGGGCAGAACACCCGUGGCGAAGGCGGCUCUCUGGAACGGUUCUGACGCUGAGACGCGAAAGCGUGGGGAGCAAACAGG
rnacentral:rRNA from 1 species